rnacentral:lncRNA from 1 species
UGCGCUUGGUGGCAGUGACAGUGUCCCAGGGCAGCAGAGUCAUGGAUCCCUGAAAAGUGGCCGGGCCUCAUUUCCUUCCCCAACCCCGAGAUUUCCUCAUCUGCCACACCACUUCCGGUGGGCGGGAUGUGUGGACUGGCAGGCAGGCCAGCAGGCUACGUGCCAUGGAGCCUUGGAGACUGAUGUGAAGCAGCAGGUCACCAUGCAGAAGGCGAACUUCAAAGACAAGUGCCGGGGGGAGCCGGGCAACAGCAAAGACACCGGUGAUCCUGAGUAUGAGAACAUCACCCUGACCUUCCGAGAGCGGGACCAGCCCAAGGGCAGUCAUCCAGGACCCAUGAAAUGCGCCCCUGCCCAGCCCAAGUCACCUUCGGGCAGUGCCCAGGUCCCUGCGUGGCUGCAGCGGUCCAUCAUGAGCCUGUACGUGCUCCUCGCCCUCAUGUUCCUCUUCUGCAUCAUCCUCUCCGCCUUGGUCUUGGUGAAGAACACUGAGAUGUCCAGGGAGAUGCUGCACUUGAGAAGGGAACUUUCCAAUGUCUCAAACUCGGCGUUGGAGUGCCAGGAAGAGCAAAGGAAUGGCUGGAGCAAGGUCCACAGUGACAUCGAGAAAGCCACCAACAGCAUCACCAAGGCCUUGAAUCCUAUCGAUACUAAGAACCAGCAAGUGCUCACAGAAAUAACAAAAAUCACACAGAAGAUACAGAAAAUCCACGAGGCACUGGAGAAGAAGACAAAUGCAGGCAAGUUGGGGCCCAGGGACGUGGCUUGUGGGUUUUUCCUGGGGCAUGGGGGGCCUGACCCUGCAUUCUCCCUUCCUCACCCAGCACCUGCGUCUAAAUAAGAGCACACGGCAGUCACAGUUUGGAGGACAGGAUUCAUGACUGCUCAGGCGAUGGAGCAUGGAUGGGUUCCCCAGCCUAGUUGAACCUGCGCCUCGUUCUAUGGCUGGAAAACAAUGCAUCAGGGUGAAUGAGGGCUGUGGCGUUGUGCAUGUGUGUGCCUGUGUGUGUGAACAUGAAAGAGCACUUUAUGGAGAAUGUCCCUGCAUCCUAAGGAAUGGGUGUGAAUGUAUGUUGUGUCUGUGUCAUUACAUGUGACACACACGUAUAUGCCAUGACAUAUGUGAGCACAGGUAUUUCUCAGUGGGUGUCUGUGUAAGGACCCCACUAGUGUGUGUGUUGGUGCUAUGUGACACCCCUCUCCCUGUCAGCACACACAGCUAGGAGCACACUGUGCAGCUCACUCGGGUGUCGCCAUGUCUGCCCUGUCCCUCCCUGUGCCUGUGUGAAUGGGUGUGUCCGACUAUGUCAUCCUGUGUGUUCAGAUCACACACACACACAGGAGUGUGUAUACUUAUUCCUGAACUCACGCUUUGUGACUAAUAAAAAAAUAAAAAUGUAUGGAAAACAAUG